rnacentral:rRNA from 1 species
AUGCAAGACUACUUCGCGGAGAAUCCUACAUAUCCACCGCACCUCUUUCGGAGAAGGUACCGAAUGCGCCGAUCCCUCUUUAUCAAAAUUGUUCAAGCUUGCGAGGAAAAUUGCCGGUAUUUUACUCAAAGAAGAAAUGUUGCUGGCUUAAAGGGAUUUAGUGCAUAUAAAAAAAAUUCCGCGGCUAUGCGGGUGAUUGCGUACUCUCAAUGA